rnacentral:misc_RNA from 1 species
CCAAAACCUAGCUGUCUGGCCGCAAGGCUCUGACGCUUCAACCCUUUGUGAACCAAAAAACCUUCGCUUCGGCAGCGGCUCCGGUUGGAAACGACCUGGGCGUCAGCCUGCCGUUAGCACCAAACCUCAUAACUUGCAGUCAAAAACACUUGUCUGAUACCAAAUUUUCGAAUGAAAAUCA